GUGGGGAAUAUUCCGCAAUGGGCGCAAGCCUGACGGAGCAACGCCGCGUGAAUGAAGACGGUCUUCGGAUUGUAAAGUUCUGUCAUUGGGGACGAAGGACUCAUGUAAAUAAUAUGAGGAAUGACGGUACCUAAGGAGGAAGCUCCGGCUAACUACGUGCCAGCAGCCGCGGUAAUACGUAGGGAGCCAGCGUUGUCGGGAAUUACUGGGCGUAAAGGGCGCGUAGGCGGAUAAUUAAGUCAGAUGUGAAAUCUCCAGGCUUAACUUGGAGCGUGCAUUUGAAACUGGUUAUCUUGAGGGCAGGAGAGGAAAGUGGAAUUCCUAGUGUAGCGGUGAAAUGCGUAGAUAUUAGGAGGAACACCAGUGGCGAAGGCGACUUUCUGGACUGAACCUGACGCUGAGGCGCGAAAGCAUGGGGAGCGAACGGGAUUAGAUACCCUUGUAGUCC
rnacentral:rRNA from 1 species